rnacentral:rRNA from 1 species
GGGACACGUGGUAUCCUGUCUGAAUAUGGGGGGACCAUCCUCCAAGGCUAAAUACUCCUGACUGACCGAUAGUGAACCAGUACCGUGAGGGAAAGGCGAAAAGAACCCCGGCGAGGGGAGUGAAAAAGAACCUGAAACCGUGUACGUACAAGCAGUGGGAGCACCUUCGGGUGUGACUGCGUACCUUUUGUAUAAUGGGUCAGCGACUUAUAUUCUGUAGCAAGGUUAACCGUAUAGGGGAGCCGCAGGGAAACCGAGUCUUAACUGGGCGUUAAGUUGCAGGGUAUAGACCCGAAACCCGGUGAUCUAGCCAUGGGCAGGUUGAAGGUUGGGUAACACUAACUGGAGGACCGAACCGACUAAUGUUGAAAAAUUAGCGGAUGACUUGUGGCUGGGGGUGAAAGGCCAAUCAAACCGGGAGAUAGCUGGUUCUCCCCGAAAGCUAUUUAGGUAGCGCCUCGUGAACUCAUCUUCGGGGGUAGAGCACUGUUUCGGCUAGGGGGUCAUCCCGACUUACCAACCCGAUGCAAACUACGAAUACCGAAGAAUGUUAUCACGGGAGACACACGGCGGGUGCUAACGUCCGUCGUGAAGAGGGAAACAACCCAGACCGCCAGCUAAGGUCCCAAAGUCAUGGUUAAGUGGGAAACGAUGUGGGAAGGCACAGACAGCCAGGAUGUUGGCUUAGAAGCAGCCAUCAUUUAAAGAAAGCGUAAUAGCUCACUGGUCGAGUCGGCCUGCGCGGAAGAUGUAACGGGGCUAAACCAUGCACCGAAGCUGCGGCAGCGACACUAUGUGUUGUUGGGUAGGGGAGCGUUCUGUAAGCCUGCGAAGGUGUGCUGUGAGGCAUGCUGGAGGUAUCAGAAGUGCGAAUGCUGACAUAAGUAACGAUAAAGCGGGUGAAAAGCCCGCUCGCCGGAAGACCAAGGGUUCCUGUCCAACGUUAAUCGGGGCAGGGUGAGUCGACCCCUAAGGCGAGGCCGAAAGGCGUAGUCGAUGGGAAACAGGUUAAUAUUCCUGUACUUGGUGUUACUGCGAAGGGGGGACGGAGAAGGCUAUGUUAGCCGGGCGACGGUUGUCCCGGUUUAAGCAUGUAGGCUGGUUGUCCAGGCAAAUCCGGAUAAUCAAGGCUGAGGUGUGAUGACGAGGCACUACGGUGCUGAAGUAACAAAUGCCCUGCUUCCAGGAAAAG